rnacentral:rRNA from 1 species
CGUAGGUGCAAGCGUUAAUCGGAAUUACUGGGCGUAAAGCGUGCGCAGGCGGUUUGUAAGUCUGUUGUGAAAUCCCCGGGCUCAACCUGGGAAUGGCAAUGGAGACUGCAAGGCUAGAGUUUGGCAGAGGGGGUAGAAUUCCACGUGUAGCAGUGAAAUGCGUAGAUAUGUGGAGGAACACCGAUGGCGAAGGCAGCCCCCUGGGUCAAAACUGACGCUCAUGCACGAAAGCGUGGGAGCAAACAGGAUU